rnacentral:rRNA from 1 species
GACGAACGCUGGCGGCGUGCUUAACACAUGCAAGUCGAACGGAAAGGCCCUGCUUUUGUGGGGUGCUCGAGUGGCGAACGGGUGAGUAACACGUGAGUAACCUGCCCUUGACUUUGGGAUAACUUCAGGAAACUGGGGCUAAUACCGGAUAGGAGCUCCUGCUGCAUGGUGGGGGUUGGAAAGUUUCGGCGGUUGGGGAUGGACUCGCGGCUUAUCAGCUUGUUGGUGGGGUAGUGGCUUACCAAGGCUUUGACGGGUAGCCGGCCUGAGAGGGUGACCGGCCACAUUGGGACUGAGAUACGGCCCAGACUCCUACGGGAGGCGGCAGUGGGGAAUAUUGCACAAUGGGCGGAAGCCUGAUGCAGCAACGCCGCGUGCGGGAUGACGGCCUUCGGGUUGUAAGCCGCUUUCGCCUGUGACGAAGCGUGAGGGACGGUAAUGGGUAAAGAAGCACCGGCGAACUACGU